rnacentral:rRNA from 1 species
GACGAACGCUGGCGGCGUGCUUAACACAUGCAAGUCGAACGGAAAGGCCCUGCUUUUGUGGGGUGCUCGAGUGGCGAACGGGUGAGUAACACGUGAGUAACCUGCCCUUGACUUUGGGAUAACUUCAGGAAACUGGGGCUAAUACCGGAUAGGAGCUCCUGCUGCAUGGUGGGGGUUGGAAAGUUUCGGCGGUUGGGGAUGGACUCGCGGCUUAUCAGCUUGUUGGUGGGGUAGUGGCUUACCAAGGCUUUGACGGGUAGCCGGCCUGAGAGGGUGACCGGCCACAAUGGGACUGAGAUACGGCGCAGACUCCUACGGGAGGCAGCAGGGGGGAAUAUUGCACAAUGGGCGGAAGCCUGAUGCAGCAACGCCGCGUGCGGGAUGACGGCCUUCGGGUUGUAAACCGCUUUCGCCUGUGACGAAGCGUGAGUGACGGUAAUGGGUAAAGAAGCACCGGCUAACUACGUG